CGCUAGCGGCAGGCCUAAUACAUGCAAGUCGAGGGGCAGCGCGGUAGCAAUACUGGCGGCGACGGGCGCACGGGUGCGUAACGCGUAUGGAACUUGCCCUUUACUAGGGGAUAGCCCGGAGAAAUUCGGAUUAAUACCUUAUAGUAUGGUUGACUGGCAUCAGUUGACUAUUAAAGAUUUAUCGGUAAAGGAUAGCCAUGCGUAUGAUUAGCUAGUUGGCGGGGUAAUGGCCCACCAAGGCGAUGAUCAUUAGGGGGUCUGAGAGGAUGAUCCCCCACACUGGUACUGAGAUACGGACCAGACUCCUACGGGAGGCAGCAGUAGGGAAUAUUGGACAAUGGGCGAGAGCCUGAUCCAGCCAUGCCGCGUGCAGGAAGAAGGCCCUCUGGGUUGUAAACUGCUUUUGACAGGGGCCAAAAUACUCAUGCGUGAGGAAUUGAGAGUACCUGUAGAAUAAGCACCGGCUAACUCCGUGCCAGCAGCCGCGGUAAUACGGAGGGUGCAAGCGUUGUCCGGAUUUAUUGGGUUUAAAGGGUGCGUAGGUGGCCUUAUAAGUCAGUGGUGAAAGCCUGCAGCUUAACUGUAGGACUGCCAUUGAUACUGUAGGGCUUGAGUACUGAUGAGGUAGGCGGAAUUGAUAGUGUAGCGGUGAAAUGCAUAGAUAUUAUCAAGAACACCGAUUGCGAAGGCAGCUUACUAAGGAGUUACUGACACUGAGGCACGAAAGCGUGG
rnacentral:rRNA from 1 species